AUUGAACGCUGGCGGCAGGCCUAACACAUGCAAGUCGAACGGUAGCACAGAGAGCUUGCUCUCGGGUGACGAGUGGCGGACGGGUGAGUAAUGUCUGGGAAACUGCCCGAUGGAGGGGGAUAACUACUGGAAACGGUAGCUAAUACCGCAUAAUGUCGCAAGACCAAAGAGGGGGACCUUCGGGCCUCUUGCCAUCGGAUGUGCCCAGAUGGGAUUAGCUUGUUGGUGAGGUAAUGGCUCACCAAGGCGACGAUCCCUAGCUGGUCUGAGAGGAUGACCAGCCACACUGGAACUGAGACACGGUCCAGACUCCUACGGGAGGCAGCAGUGGGGAAUAUUGGACAAUGGGCGCAAGCCUGAUGCAGCCAUGCCGCGUGUGUGAAGAAGGCCUUCGGGUUGUAAAGCACUUUCAGCGGGGAGGAAGGCGAUACGGUUAAUAACCGUGUUGAUUGACGUUACCCGCAGAAGAAGCACCGGCUAACUCCGUG
rnacentral:rRNA from 1 species